UUGUUCGUAAAUGUUGUUGACUAACUCAUUGGUCUUCCUUUCCUAUGAUCUGUGAUGUCAUUGUAGUUAAAAAUCAUCUCUCUAUGUUUGUCUCAGUACUCAGUCUGAGCGUCUCUUUAUAUCACUUAUGAUGACUGCAAUCUAAUACCAGAUGCCUGUAAACCACAAAAGAUUUUAACUUACUUAUAACUUAGAACAAUAAUAAUUUUAAAUCUACCAUAUAAACUGAGCAGAAACCAUGCCACUAACAUAUCAUCGUCUGAUUAAGAAGCCGAUCAACAGAGAGAGAGAGAGAGAGAGACGAGAGGAAUUUUUUUUUCUGAUGUUUUUUGAUACACGCUUAACUAAUGUUUU
rnacentral:lncRNA from 1 species